GUGCCAGCAGCCGCGGUAAUACAGAGGGUGCGAGCGUUAAUCGGAAUUACUGGGCGUAAAGGGUGCGUAGGUGGUUUUGUAAGUCAGAUGUGAAAUUCCCGGGCUUAACCUGGGGACUGCGUCUGAUACUGCGAAGCUAGAGUACUGUAGAGGAAAGUGGAAUUUCCGGUGUAGCAGUGAAAUGCGUAGAUAUCGGAAGGAACAUCAGUGGCGAAGGCGACUUUCUGGACAGAUACUGACACUGAGGCACGAAAGCGUGGGGAGCAAACAGGAUUAGAAACCCUGGUAGUCC
rnacentral:rRNA from 1 species